GGUGUCAGCCGCCGCGGUAAGACGGAGGGGGCAAGCGUUGUCCGGAAUUACUGGGCGUAAAGCGCUCGUAGGCGGUCGCGUACGGCGGUGGUGAAAGCUCCCGGCUCAACUGGGAGAGGCCCGCCGCAACGGCGUGACUCGAGGGUGGUAGAGGCAGAUGGAAUUCCAGGUGUAGCGGUGAAAUGCGUAGAGAUCUGGAGGAACACCCGUGGCGAAGGCGAUCUGCUGGGCCAUGCCUGACGCUGAGGAGCGAAAGCUAGGGGAGCGAACGGGAUUAGAUACCCCGGUAGUCCUAGCCGUAAACGAUGGAUACUAGGUGUCAGCGGUAUCGACCCCGCUGGUGCCGGAGCUAACGCGUGAAGUAUCCCGCCUGGGGAGUACGGCCGCAAGGUUGAAACUUAAAGGAAUUGGCGGGGGAU
rnacentral:rRNA from 1 species